GUAUACACAUUAAAGUUAUAAAUUUCCAUCAAAGAAGCACUUUGCUGUAUCUCAGUUUUGAUAGAUAGUAUUUUCAUUAUCACUAGCUUCCAAGCAUUUUAAAGCUUCUUCUUAACCCACAAAUUAUUUAGCAUUAUAAGUUUUCAAAUAUCCAUAUAUAUGGUUCUUUAUCUUUUUGUUGUUUUUAAAGUUCUAAUGUAAUUAUGAAUUCAAAGUCUGAAUAUCUAUUCUUUGAACUGUAUUGAGAUCUUCUUUAUGAUCCGGCAUAUGAUCAAUUUUUGCAAAUGUUAUGUGCUUAGAAAAAAAUAUGUAUGCUCUCAUCGUAGGCUAUGGAAUUCUCUAUAUGUCUGCUAGUCCAAUUUUGUUAAUGGGCUAUUCAAAUCUUCAGUCUCCCUAUAGUUUUCAUCUGCUUGAGUUAUCAGUAAUUGAGAGAAAAAGAUACACUAUGAGAGUGGAUUUAUCCAUCCUUGUCAAUUCUGGGAAUCUGAGGCUUUCUAUGUCUAUGAAUAUUUGUAUCUCAUUCUCAUACCUGAAUGUCACAAUGGCUGAAUAUUAAACUUCUGUUUCUAGUUCUUCUCCCUUUAAUACUUAAAAAAUCUUAUUCCUUUGUUCUCCUGGCUUCUACUGCUGCUAUGCAGAAAUCUGAUGUUUAAUCUGAUGUUAACCUUUCAUACUAUAAACUUUUAAAACUUUUGGUCUUGGAUAUCUCAAAUUUCACUAUGAUAUGUCUGUAGGUAUAGGUUUUCCAGAUUGUUUCCUUUGAAGUUCCAUGGGCCCUCCAUCCUGAAGGAGGAUUUUUUUUUUACUGAUCUAUCCAUUCAUUCAAGGGAAAUUUCACAUUAUCAUUUCUAUAAGAACUUAGUCAUUUUCUUUUGGGAAUUCCUAUUAUCUGUAUGUUGCCACUUCUUCUCUUCUCUGUAUCUCUAGAUUUUUCCUUUUUCUAUUUCUUUGAACUUCCCUUCCUCCUGUGAGAUGACCUCAAUCUAGUCCUCCAAUUCUCUCGUGUGUACCUUAAUUGUGUCCCUUCUGCCGUCUUAUUUUCUCUCUCUUGUUCCUUGUGUCAACUACUAGACAUUCCCAUUGGCAGGAUGUCCAUUUGGUUCCUUUUGUGUUUCUUUGUUUUCAGAUGUCUAACAUUAUCCCUUAUCUUUUUUAGCAUGUGUACUGAGCUAAAUUUAAAUGCUUGGUCCAUUCUAAUGUUUAUGCUUUUUAAAAAUUUCAUCUAUUUAUUCAUGAGAGACACACAGAGAGAGGCAGAGACAUAGGCAGAAGGAAAAGCAGGGUCCCUGUAGGGAACCUGCUGUGGGAUUCAAUCCCAGGACCCCGGGAUCAUGCCCUGAGCCAAAGGCAGAUGCUCAACUACUGAGCCACCCAGGUGCCCCAAUGUUUAUGCUUCUGUUGGAACCCAAAAUCUUUCUUUUCUUCUGAAAUAGCUGUACUUCUCAAAAUAUAUUAUCAUGUGCAUUCAUUUUUUUCUCUGGAAAUGCCUAUGAGGAUGGACGUAGGGUGACCCACUAGAGCUGAGGGGGUUUCGGGGGAUAUUAGACUAAAACCAUGACAGUCCCAGGUAAACCAAAUGGUUGAUCACCCUUCUAGACCCUAUUUUGAGUCACACCAGGUUGCUCAGGGCGACAGUAAAUGAGCUCUAGAGCAGAGAACCCCAAGUCCAGGAAAAUCACUGCCAAUACUCUUCAGGUCUAAAGUUCAUCUUCUGCUUUCCCCAAGAGGGCGGAGGCAACAUCAGAAGGAACAGUCCUUAGGUUGAAAUUCACGAGCCCAGGGAAGUAAGAGCAGGAGGUAUGGGUGGCCAAAUGCCCUGAGUUGGUUAGGACCUAAAGAGUUUCUUGGCUCCUUAUAAGCACAGGACUUCUGUGUGGCCCUGAUUUUCCUCUUGAGUCCACUUGGACUAGACCUCUGAGUCACCACACAUGUGGGGGCAGGUACUGACUUUCUCAAGGCAAUAGUGAGUGAGAAGCAUGAGUGAGCACAUGUAUAAUAGUUAUUUUCCUAUCUUAUUAUUGUCCUGCAAGGUGGCUGGCUGCUUACAGUCCUUGGCCUACAUCACCACCACCCUCUCCUCCCAGCCCCCUUACCAAACAGUUCCUUUAAAUUCUCUCAUUACCAUGGUUUUCUUAUAGUUUUCUUUAUUUGAUGGUGUUGUACCCUCUACAUUGCUUUCAUGAACUGUAAGGAAGGGGCAGUAAUAAUGCUAGUUCAGCAUCUUCAUAGCACAUAUUUGUAUGGUGGCUCCUAAUAAUUUGCGUAUUUUUUGUUAUUAAAAAACUACAAACUUCUUGGACAUGUAGAAAAGGGCUCUGGAAAUGGCAAAGCACAAUAAAUAUUAAUUACAUUAUUGUAAACGAUAUCAAAAUAUGUUCAUAUGUUUACUGUAGCCUAAUUUUUUAGAAAUAUUCUUAUAUUUGUAUAGAAAAUAGCAUUAGAAAAACACUAAAACCGUAUUUGAGCAGAAACCACAUAAAAUCUGACAAACUUCUGAUUUUUGUUAUAAGUAUUUAUUAUUUGUUGCUAUAUGAUUACAUUUGGCACAUCUAUGGUUUUUUUUUUUUAAUUUCCAAAAUGCAUCACUAAUCUGUAACAUAUUAUUCCUUACAGCUUCCUCACUGAAAAGACUUUUCUAUGGCAAGGUACAAAAAGGCAUUCUAGGAAAAACAUUCUAAAUUACAUUAUUUACCUAAAAGACUAUCUUUAUAUAUUACUGGUCUACUGAAAAUUUUCUUUUCAAUCAAAUUCCAUUCAUUUUUACAUAAUGCAUGUCAGUAACAGCUACCAUGGAAAAAUAACCAUAAGCAAAAACUG
rnacentral:lncRNA from 1 species